rnacentral:rRNA from 1 species
UUCAUAAUGCAAGUCGAGGGGCAGCAUAAAUUACUUGUAAUUUGAUGGCGACCGGCGAACGGGUGCGUAACGCGUAUGCAACUUACCUUUUACUAGAGAAUAGCCAAGAGAAAUUUUGAUUAAUGCUCUAUGUUCUUAUUUACUCGCAUGAGUAAAUAAGCAAAGCUCCGGCGGUAAAAGAUGGGCAUGCGUCCUAUUAGCUUGUAGGUGAGGUAAUGGCUCACCUAAGCUCCGAUAGGUAGGGGUCCUGAGAGGGAGAUCCCCCACACUGGUACUGAGACACGGACCAGACUUCUACGGAAGGCAGCAGUAAGGAAUAUUGGACAAUGGAGGCAACUCUGAUCCAGCCAUGCCGCGUGAAGGAAGACGGCCUUAUGGGUUGUAAACUUCUUUUAUACAGGAAGAAACCUUUCCACGUGUGGAAAGCUGACGGUACUGUAAGAAUAAGGAUCGGCUAACUCCGUGCCAGCAGCCGCGGUAAUACGGAGGAUCCAAGCGUUAUCCGGAAUUAUUGGGUU